rnacentral:lncRNA from 10 species
AAUAGUCACAUGACACGUUUCCCGUCAAGAUGGCGGAUACUCUCCCUUCGGAGUUUGAUGUGAUCGUAAUAGGGACGGGUUUGCCUGAAUCCAUCAUUGCAGCUGCAUGUUCAAGAAGUGGCCGGAGAGUUCUGCAUGUUGAUUCGUAAGUUUAUCAACGAUAGCAUUUAAUAUUUCCUAAAUAUCUCUAUACAGGAUUAAAAUUUACAUAAACACAUAUAUGUCUGUACGUAUGUACAUGUAUGUGUAUAUCAUACAUAAACUUAAGUUAGAAGAAAGAUCGGAGUUGUUUAAUUUUAACCACUAAUAUGUGAAAUAUAUAGCAUACAAGUUUUACUAUUUUGUGAAAUAGUGAUCUUUGAGAAUAAACCAAAUGCAUCAUUUUAUUUUUCUCAUGAGUGAUUUUGUUUAAAAUAACAAGUAAUUCUCCAAGAGGCUUGGAAACCUCAUGCCUGCCCCUUUUCCUACAUAUGUGUGUGGGUAUAUACAACCUAUAUAUGCUAUUGUAUUUUAGGCUUCAUAUUUGAUGGUUGUAAAAGUCAGCCAAUAGAUUUUGAGCAUUAUUUUCUUAAACUUCAUCAAAAUUUAAACUUAGGAAGUCUUAACUAGGAAAAAUAUCUACAAUUAUGUUUUUCCCUUUUUUUCUUAAAUGUGAUGAUAAGCAGGAGGUUGAUGGAA